AUCGCUUCUCGGCCUUUUGGCUAAGAUCAAGUGUAAAAAUCAAAUAGAAAAGUACUCUGAAUGAAUGCAUUUAUUCUUCCCCUUUUGAGGGAUGGUUUUCCUCUGUGCUUCGAAUCAAGGAAAUCACAAAUGGUUUCUUUGUCUCUGUCAUGUUUGACAGUAUCUGACAUUAAGGGAACACCUUAU
ensembl:snRNA U2 U2 spliceosomal RNA